GCGCGCUGGAGCUGACCUCUCCCGGCGGCGGGCGGUUAGGGGAAAGUACCUGGGAGAAAGGUAGAGGAGGUAAGGGGACCCUUGGGGGGUGCCCCUACGGGCUACCAGGGUUGAACGCACAGGCAUGGUCACGUCGGGGUAUUGCCAAGCUUUUGGCGCAGCUGGUCGGGUGGCCAGGCUGCAUGCGGCUUAGCAGGAGACGUCCUGGGCUGUUUGCGCAGGACCUCUGGAGGCCCUCGAGAUGGUCGCAAGCGGAAAGGUGCUGGAGAAUCUGGUAAAAGCACCAUUGUGAAGCAGAUGAGGAUCCUGCAUGUUAAUGGGUUUAAUGGAGAUGAGAAGGCAACCAAAGUGCAGGACAUCAAAAACAACCUGAAAGAGGCGAUUGAAACCAUUGUGGCCGCCAUGAGCAACCUGGUGCCCCCCGUGGAGCUGGCCAACCCCGAGAACCAGUUCAGAGUGGACUACAUUCUGAGUGUGAUGAACGUGCCUGACUUUGACUUCCCUCCCGAAUUCUAUGAGCACGCCAAGGCUCUGUGGGAGGAUGAAGGAGUGCGUGCCUGCUACGAACGCUCCAACGAGUACCAGCUGAUUGACUGUGCCCAGUACUUCCUGGACAAGAUCGAUGUGAUCAAGCAGGCUGACUAUGUGCCGAGCGAUCAGGACCUGCUUCGCUGCCGCGUCCUGACUUCUGGAAUCUUUGAGACC
rnacentral:sRNA from 1 species